rnacentral:rRNA from 1 species
GUGCAGCAACACUGGUUCAGCGCUCAUCGGCGGUACAACAAGAAGUUCCUUGAUGCUUUCUCUCUCAUGGCCGUUACUGUUGCUGGGUACCUGAUGGUUGUCAUAAUCUGCGACCAAGUAUCAGUGAUAGGUUCAGCUGGACAGAGUGUUUGCUUCGCGAUACUCCUGCUGUUGAUCAUGUCUCCAUCAGUUAUUGUUGUAAUAGCUCAGAAGACAGAAUCGAAACAGCGAGAAGAGCCAGCUCUAGCAUUGCACUUGUGGGAUCUGGUCAGGACAUGUCAUCGCACAAAGAAAACUUGA